AGACCUGAGGUAUCAGGGGUAGGGGUUGCUCUGCUUGUGUAAGUCCCAUAGUGUGAAGGCCAGAGAACCAAGAGAUGGUCAAGAAGAGAGAGUAAGUGUCCAAUGUCCCAGCUCAAGAAGAGAGAAAACUUUUGUGGAUAGCUAAGUUACUGCUAGCCAUCUGAUUAUAGCAAUGGCUUCCAGGAGCAUCACGACCUGUGCAGACUCCCCAGCAUCAUAACAGGAAGGUCCCACGAUCACGAGCACAUUGCCUUCAGCAUCCAGCACUGAAUAUGGUGAAUUGCACUCUGAAGAGCUUCCUAAGCUUGUAAGAAAGUGAUUCUGAAAAGCUCAACAUUUUGGUAGAAUGGAGAGAUUUGACAUUGCUUCUGCUCCAAAAGCAAAAGACUUGGGAAGGGCACCCUGGGAGUUGAGAACAUCCACCACAGAGAGGUAAGUUCCUACUUGGCAGUUUGCCGCAGCAAUUACCACCUCGUGCUCCAUCACUACCUUUCCACUCCGUCUCCCACCCUUACACCAGGCUUGUGAUUCAAAGGCCUUCAGGCCAGGGGUAACAAACUAUGGCCUGUGGGCCAAAUCUAACCCACUGACUGUUUUCCAAAUAAAGUUCCACUGGAACACAGGCAUA
rnacentral:lncRNA from 1 species